AGAGUUUGAUCCUGGCUCAGGAUGAACGCUAGCGACAGGCUUAACACAUGCAAGUCGAGGGGCAGCGGGGGCGAAGCUUGCUUCGCCUGCCGGCGACCGGCGCACGGGUGAGUAACACGUAUGCGACCUGCCCCCCGCAGGGGGAUAACCGGGAGAAAUCCCGACUAAUACCGCGUAACGCCGCUGGGCUGCAUGGCCCGGCGGCCAAAGGAAGCGAUUCCGGCGGGGGAUGGGCAUGCGGCGCAUUAGCUAGUCGGCGGGGUAACGGCCCACCGAGGCGACGAUGCGUAGGGGUUCUGAGAGGAAGGUCCCCCACACUGGUACUGAGACACGGACCAGACUCCUACGGGAGGCAGCAGUGAGGAAUAUUGGUCAAUGGGCGGGAGCCUGAACCAGCCAAGUCGCGUGAGGGAAGACGGUCCUACGGAUUGUAAACCUCUUUUGCCGGGGAGCAACGGGGUCCUUGCGAGGGCCCGAUGAGAGUACCCGGAGAAAAAGCAUCGGCUAACUCCGUGCCAGCAGCCGCGGUAAUACGGAGGAUGCGAGCGUUAUCCGGAUUUAUUGGGUUUAAAGGGUGCGUAGGCGGACGCUUAAGUCAGCGGUAAAAUUGCGGGGCUCAACCUCGUCGAGCCGUUGAAACUGGGUGCCUUGAGUGGGCGAGAAGUACGCGGAAUGCGUGGUGUAGCGGUGAAAUGCAUAGAUAUCACGCAGAACUCCGAUUGCGAAGGCAGCGUACCGGCGCCCAACUGACGCUGAAGCACGAAGGCGUGGGUAUCGAACAGGAUUAGAUACCCUGGUAGUCCACGCAGUAAACGAUGAAUGCUAGUUGUCCGGGGCGAUUGAGUUCUGGGUGACACAGCGAAAGCGUUAAGCAUUCCACCUGGGGAGUACGCCGGCAACGGUGAAACUCAAAGGAAUUGACGGGGGCCCGCACAAGCGGAGGAACAUGUGGUUUAAUUCGAUGAUACGCGAGGAACCUUACCCGGGCUCAAACGCAGGAGGGAUGUUUUUGAAAGGAGGCAGCCAGCAAUGGUCUCCUGCGAGGUGCUGCUUGGUUGUCGUCAGCUCGUGCCGUGAGGUGUCGGCUUAAGUGCCAUAACGAGCGCAACUCCUACCUACAGUUGCCAUCGCGUGAUGGCGGGCACUCUGUGGGGACUGCCUGCGCAAGCAGUGAGGAAGGCGGGGAUGACGUCAAAUCAGCACGGCCCUUACGUCCGGGGCGACACACGUGUUACAAUGGCAGGUACAGCGGGAAGCCACCCGGCGACGGGGCGCGGAACCCGAAAACCUGUCUCAGUUCGGAUUGGAGUCUGCAACCCGACUCCAUGAAGCUGGAUUCGCUAGUAAUCGCGCAUCAGCCACGGCGCGGUGAAUACGUUCCCGGGCCUUGCACACACCGCCCGUCA
rnacentral:rRNA from 1 species